rnacentral:rRNA from 1 species
UGGCGGCAAUAAUAUAGCGAAUCUACCUGAUUCCAUACCGAACUCAGAAGUGAAAUGCCGUAAUGCCGAUGGUAGUGUGGGAAUUUCCCAUGUGAGAGUAGGUCACCGCCAAGCU